UGCAACUUUUAAAUAUGCAUCUAAAGAUGUCCAUUGCUAAUUUUAUCAAGUGUAGGAUGGGCUGAGAAAAUCAACAAGCAUUUGGGUUGUACAGUCUUUUUUUUCAUGAAUAUGUUUUGGCUUCUGGGAUGAUUUACCGAGAGGACAUAUCAAGAUAAGUGUUGCAAUAUAUUUACAUUGACAAGAAAACACUGUCAAGAAAAUGACUUUUUUUAUGUAUGUGUCUAUAUAUACAAACACACAUAUAUAUACACUUAUAUCUAAGUAUAUAUACUUAAAAAAUACAUAUGCAUGAAAACAGUAAAACGUAUGUGCUGCUUUGAAUUGAUGACAUAUGUAAGGAUUAUACGUGUAUGCGUAUAAGGGGUGUGUGCGUGUCUAUGUAAAUAUAUAUUGUUUCUGAAAAGCUGCUUCUUACCUCUUAUUCUUACCUCAAUUCCCAGUAUGCCUCUUCCAUCUCAGUGUCUUAGUUUCUUGCCUCUUAACUUAAUUUUCUAUGUAUCAGCGAGUUCUGCAUCCCCGCAAAACAGUAGGCGAAGCAAUGAAGCUCCAUAAACACAACUGUUUCCUUUAUCCUGAUAGUUUAAAAAAUUAUCUCCUGCAGUAGACUGCCAGAUUGAGACUGGGGCCAUGCAAUUACAGCCUAAAAGAGCCCACUAAAUAACCAUGAAUAAACAAUUUUUUGAACGUACUAUGUAAAUUAUGUUUCCUCACCUCGACAAGUCCCUGCUCUGUUACUCUUUUUUUUUUUUAGAAAAGCUAUUUUUAACAGGUUUUAACUUCCUUUCAUUUGCCACUUCCCGGUAAGUCUAUGAAGUACACAAGAACACACAUAGGAGGAUUUUUCUGGGUUUCUAAUUCAGAUUUUGACAGGAAGUAAAGACGUAUGGUGUGGUUUGACUGCUAUUAAGUCUUAUUUUCUAGUAUUUUUUGGGAAGCAGAGAUCACCCAAGAUCUUGGUCCCUCACCAUCUAAAGCUUAGGAAAAGAGGAAAGGAAGUGCAGAUCACGAAGGGAAUCAACAAAUAGCGCUCUCUUAAUGUCUUGGCAAAAUGUUCUCUUAAUAACACGAUUGUUGAUAAAUUAUGAGAAUGGUUGGGGGGUGUGUGUGUGUGUGUCAUAUUUUAGACUUCCUGCUCCAAGGGGAGCUGGAAAUUCUCAUUUUGAAUGAAACAAAAACGUGUUAUGCAGUGUGGCUGGGGGCCGGUUUCUUGACCUCCGAUCAUGUUUGCUACUUUGCUACUGAUGCAGGACUGUGGGAUAUCUUUGCUAAGGUUUUGCCGUCAGUAUCUGUAGAGAUGUAAUCUUCCACUGAGACGGGAUUUUGCAAAUGACUCUGGAAAUAGAUUUAAAAUUAAAGGUAAUAUCAUUCUGAAAGUUCAAAUAUUAUGAGAGCUGCUCUUUAGAUGUGGCCAUAAAUUCAGUAUUCAAACCAGAGUUUCACACUGUUAUUGAUGUUUCUAGGUGAAUGAAUAUAAUAGCAAAAAAUAGGGAAUUAUUCAAAUUAUUUUAAGAUUGCUAAAUAUUUAUCCUAGAGACAAACUGGGCAUUAAACUGAAAGCUAAACACUUGAAAUGCACUGCUAGAUGUUGAAGCAAGUGUUGAAGCAGUUGGUUUGCCCACUUUUGCUAUCAUCUGCUAUUUUAGAAUCAUCCUGCUCUUUGGAAGAAUGGAUAUGAAGUAAAAUAGGAAUCAGCCGGAUAACUAAGAUCCACAGUAUUUUGUUAUUUGCUAUUCAGUGCUUUUGCUGCUUACCGGAGUGGAGAUCGACUAUACCCCUGAUUCAGAACAUCUGCAAACAGACAGUGUUGCUGCGGUAGAAUCCUGCCCCUGGGAUUACCUCUAGUAAAACUGAAGAGAUCGAGGUCAUCUGAAGAGCUUCCACUCUCUCUCUACCUCAGCUGGAAGAUAAAACUUGAUGGAUCCAUUGGGCGAAAGGAAAGCAAAACAGAGCCUGUUGGUGGAAGUCUCAGAUAUUGUGGUGAGCUGAUGGCCAGAAAAGCACGU